AUUGAACGCUGGCGGCAUGCUUUACACAUGCAAGUCGAAAGGUAACAGGGUGCUUGCACCGCUGACGAGUGGCGAACGGGUGAGUAAUGCGUCGGAACGUGCCGAGUAGUGGGGGAUAACGCAGCGAAAGUUGUGCUAAUACCGCAUCCGUACUGCGGUAUAAAGUGGGGUACCUUCGGGCCCCACGCUAGUCGAGCGGCCGACGUCGGAUGAGCUAGUAGGUGGGGUAAAGGCUCACCUAGGCGACGAUCAGUAGCGGGUCUGAGAGGAUGGUCCGCCACACUGGGGCUGAGACACGGCCCAGACUCCUACGGGAGGCAGCAGUGGGGAAUUUUGGACAAUGGGCGAAAGCCUGAUCCAGCCAUGCCGCGUGUCUGAAGAAGGCCUUCGGGUUGUAAAGGACUUUUGUCAGGGAGGAAAUCCCUAGUGCUAAUAACACUGGGGGAUGACAGUACCUGAAGAAUAAGCACCGGCUAACUACGUGCCAGCAGCCGCAGUAA
rnacentral:rRNA from 1 species